AUUAACAUUCGCAUAACUAUAAAGUAUCGCUCCUCUUCUUCUCGCUUCCCGCUCCCUACAUCAAUAUCGGUGACCGAUUCAUGUAACGUGAAAAUUCCAAUUGCCAAUGAUUCUUCUCGUCGACGACGACACAACUGAACGAGCAUGCAUAACUUGAACUGUAUCAUCCUCCUCAACGCCUUCGAAUAUCGAGUGUGUAGGAAUCAUGAGAUUUUGGAGAUAGAAUCUGACUGUGCAUAGUAGUCGAUCUGAGACCUUGAGAGGAGCAGAGUCUCAGGACCAAACCUUCACCACUAGGCCAGCCCCUGGGUAUGUGGGCUCCUUGAGUUGAUUGUAAUAGAGUAUCAGCAGGUUUUGGCUGGUUGAAUCUUUCUUGUAUGUACCCAUGAAAUCGGGCUAUCAACAUGGUGGAGUUGAAAAUACUCACACCAAGAUUUUACUAACAUCGUUGUCGGCAAUGGCGGCCGAGUCCACUACUUUCCCCAUAGAUUUGAUCAAGACCAGGCUCCAACUCCAUGGCGAGUCACUUUCCUCAAGCCGUCCAACCGGUGCAUUUCGGAUAGGCUUAGACAUUAUUCGCGAACAAGGUUUUCUUGGCCUUUAUAAGGGCUUGUCUCCAGCAAUUUUAAGACACUUAUUCUACACACCUAUUAGAAUUGUUGGGUAUGAGCACCUGAGGAGUGUUGUUUUUGCUGACUAUGGGUCAUCCUCUAUUAUUGGCAAGGCUGUUGUUGGUGGAAUCUCUGGUAGUAUGGCUCAGGUUAUUGCAAGCCCAGCUGAUCUUGUCAAGGUGAGGAUGCAAGCUGAUAGUCAAAUGAUGAGCAGGGGUCUUCCGCCUCGCUAUUCAGGGCCAUUUGAUGCUUUUAACAAAAUCAUUCAAGCGGAAGGGUUUCAAGGACUGUGGAAGGGUGUUUUCCCUAAUAUCCAAAGAGCCUUCUUAGUCAACAUGGGGGAAUUAGCUUGUUAUGAUCAUGCUAAGCAAUUUGUUAUUACAAGCAGGAUAGCGGAGGAUAAUGUUUAUGCCCAUACAUUAGCUUCUAUCAUGUCAGGUCUAGCGGCAACUUCUUUAAGUUGUCCAGCGGACGUUGUCAAGACUAGAAUGAUGAAUCAGGCAGCUAAAAAGGAAGGAAAUGUCUUAUAUAGAAGCUCCUAUGAUUGCUUGGUAAAGACAGUUCAAGUUGAAGGAAUAAGAGCACUUUGGAAAGGGUUCUUCCCCACAUGGGCGAGGCUUGGUCCGUGGCAAUUUGUGUUCUGGGUUUCCUAUGAGAAGUUUAGAAAGUUUGCCGGGCUAUCUUCUUUCUAGGAUAUUAUUUUGAUUUAUGCUGUAAAAUCUUCAUUCAAGAUAAAGUGACAGUUCACAGCCUCAAGAUUAAUAGCCUGUUUGUUUGCUACUGGAAAUCUAGUUUGAAGAAAGAAGAAAGUUUCUUGUUGGAAAAAUAACCUCAGGAGGAUGAUACUUGUACAAUUUGUGACAAUGGGAUUCCAAUACAAACAGAUGGAAAAAUAAUCGGUUUAAUUGAUUGAUUUAAUCGACAAUUAUAUUAAAAUUAAAUAAUAUUUCACAUUUUUGUCACAUUAUGCAAUGCUGUAUUUGGAUUAAUUCUUUCAACUGUUUCUUUCACUUAUAGUUAAAUUAACAACUAUGAUAUGGCUUGUGCAAGUCGAUGUUGAUAGUGGUAUUGUACCCUUGAAAUGCUAUAUAUAGCUGCUUUAUAUACCUUCUACUUGGAAGAUCUUAUUUGAAUGAUGUAAUUUAAUGAACAAUACUGUUUGACUAAUGAAAUCCUAUAAAAUGUGUAAGGAACUCAAAUAGCUAAAACUCAUUAUCAGUUAAUUUACAUGUGUCAAAAGGGAUGUUAUACUUGUCCAUAUAUUGUGCUUAAUCCAAAGCCCAAACCUGCGUCAAGAAUAAGUGAGGAAAUUAAGUUACUGGAAAGAUGAAAAAGAAUCUGGUUAGUUUGUGAUAUCAUGACUUUUAAUAUGAUCAGGGUCUAACCUGGAUCUUUCCAUCAGAGGAACCAACAAAAAGCAUCAUGCCAUCAGCAUCUGACACUAAUGAUGUAAUUUUUGUGUGACCACCAGCCAUUUUGAUGGAAGCUACCCGGGUGAACUUAUCUUUUAACCAAACUUCAAUGGUGCCAAACUUUGUACCAGCAAAUAUGAAGUCACUGUUGAUGGCUACACGAUGGAUAUCGAGUCCAGUUGAGAGUGAUCCCACCACCAUUUUGGAGGUUAGUGAAAAUAUCUUAUACAUCAAAUAAAAAAAAAGUUAGUUUUGCGAGAAAUAUGCAUUUAUUUGUAAUGACAAUAACGUUGGAACAGAACAAGAACUGUCAUAUACCUUUCCCGCAGUUGCAUCAACAGAAGAACCACAAGCAAAGAGGAAAUCGCCAUGAAUUUGAAGGGAGUGUAUGGUUUGUUUUCCCAACAAUUUUCUUGUACCAGUGAAGAAUGAAGUUGAUGUAUAUUGGGACAAGUUAACCUCCUGUCAUUAUUCAGCCCAUAAUUCUUAAGGAAGAUUUCCAGAAAAGCUUUUGUAUGUUUGGUUAGAGUUGCAUAUUUUGAUAAAGAUACGACUAAAUACGGAGCAACGUAAAGGAGUGCUUACCUGUAUGCUGUAACCAGAGCAACCACAAUACAAUUUAUCCCCAGCAACAGCAAGGCAUUUCACAUAUUUGUUGAAAUUGAUGAGCUUUGGAGGAUCUGACCAGUUAAAAACCUGUAAAUAUCAAAUUUUAUCAGUUUUAUCUUAAGAUGGAAAUAGAUUCCUUUAUGAAUAGUUCGGAAGCAUAUUAGACUUGCCUUAACUCCUGUUCCUUGAGUUACAUAGCAUGCCAAUUUAGCAUUAGCUGCUAGCUCAUACACUGCUUCCUUAACGUCAUAAACAUCUAUACAUUUAAUCCCGUCGGGUUUAAUUGUCCAAACCUGUACAUAAGAAGUAAUAUUCAAUGGUGCAUAUCAAGUAUUAUGAUUGAGUUAGAGGAUCAACAAAAGGAUGCAGGUAAUUUGGGAAGUUAACAUUGAAGGAAAGUUAAGGUAUCAAGUACUAUUUUUCACUUUCUUCUAUUGCCUUCAAUUGUUAUUAUUAUAGAGUACAUGGCAAACAAUAAGAAUGCAAAAUUAUUAUUUGACCAAUUUUUUUUUUCUGUGACAUAGCUUGAUGGUUUACCCGGAUUGUUUUGUCCAAGGAAGAACUGUAUAGUCUAUCAACUGAAGAACAAAGAGAUGUAACCGCUUUUUUGUGCUCACGAAUUUCUUGAGUUACUCGUGGUAUUCUCUUCCUUGCGUCCCAUACCUAGGAGGAAGUUUAAUUGUUAAAAAAUCUGACACACACACACAUACACACAAACGCACUUUCUGAUUUUUAGGAUACUCUACCUUGAUAGUUCCAUCAGCAUGUCCACUUAAGACCUGGCCAUUGAGGUAAAGCAAAGAAAGCACCUCUCCAUUUGAGCUCAAAUCUAACUCGACUACUUCUUUACAACUCCACAACUCUGUCUAUAGAAUGGAAAAUUGAAAUAGUUACUUUUCUUUACAAUUAUAUUAUGUGAAAUGAAGUAUGUCCUAAAUCACCAAUCAACUCACCACAUCAACAGAAUUUAAGUUUAGUAAGGCUUUCAAAAUAUCAGCUGCGACUGUUGAAUAUUUCUUCAGCUUCCUCAAGAUUCUGUAGAUGCUUUUAGCAUAGACUCUAAGUGCUUCAUGAGCAGCUGAAACAUUGCAGUUUCUAUUUAGUGUAGUAUACUUCUUUGUAUAAUAAAACACAGAAAAAUGUUUAAUAUAUAAAAAACCUACUUGGAUCACUAAUGAAAGACUUCAAAGCUAGGGUAGCCAGGAUCUUUUCCUCUAGGUUCUUGGAUGACUGGAUGACAUUUAUAAGGGCCUCGAGCAGGGAUUUCUGAGCAAUAUCUCUUACACCAGUAUCAGGUAGAGUAAAGAGCAUGUGUGUGAGCCAUGUGGCAAGAACAAGGCAAGAUUUUGCCAUCUUUAAGGAGUUACUCUUUAGGCAUUCUUCCAAAGCUUGAAAUAUUGAACCGUUUUCAUGAUUGCAAAGUACUGAGGCUACUCUUUUCUGCCAAGAUUUCAUGGCGUUCUUUUCAUUCUCCUAUGUAAGAAAAAUUUGUAUUAGUCUCAUGAGAAAAUCAAUUAUUAACCAUAUCCAACAAUCAAAAUGCCUUAUCCUCGAACCAUUGUUUCCAUCAAAUCUUUGUCAGAGUGUCCUAAUUGAUCGGCCUUCAUUAAAACAUUGUAAGGUUGAUCAAAUCCGGCAAUCUUCAGCAACCAAGCUUCAGUAUAUGACUUUCCUGAGGACGUUACAUGUCCAAUAAGAAAUAGUAAAGCAUCUAAAGCCUUCAUUUGAUUAUUUGAGAAGUCCUUUUGCCAAAGUGCUUCUAUCAGUGUCUCUACAGCUUCUUCCCUGUAAAUGCUCAUCUUUCGCGGCUCAACC